AGUGAACGCUGGCGGUAGGCCUAACACAUGCAAGUCGAACGGCAGCACAGUAAGAGCUUGCUCUUACGGGUGGCGAGUGGCGGACGGGUGAGGAAUACAUCGGAAUCUACUUUUUCGUGGGGGAUAACGUAGGGAAACUUACGCUAAUACCGCAUACGACCUACGGGUGAAAGCAGGGGAUAUUCGGACCUUGCGCGAUUGAAUGAGCCGAUGUCGGAUUAGCUAGUUGGCGGGGUAAAGGCCCACCCAGGCGACGAUACGUAGCUGGUCUGAGAGGGUGAUCAGCCACACUGGAACUGAGACACGGUCCAGACUCCUACGGGAGGCAGCAGUGGGGAAUAUUGGACAAUGGGCGCAAGCCUGAUCCAGCCAUACCGCGUGGGUGAAGAAGGCCUUCGGGUUGUAAAGCCCUUUUGUUGGGAAAGAAAAGCAGCAGGUUAAUACCCCGCUGUUCUGACGGUACCCAAAGAAUAAGCACCGGCUAACUUCGUG
rnacentral:rRNA from 1 species